rnacentral:rRNA from 1 species
AGCGAACGCUGGCGGCAGGCUUAACACAUGCAAGUCGAGCGGGCGUAGCAAUACGUCAGCGGCAGACGGGUGAGUAACGCGUGGGAACGUACCUUUUGGUUCGGAACAACACAGGGAAACUUGUGCUAAUACCGGAUAAGCCCUUACGGGGAAAGAUUUAUCGCCAAAAGAUCGGCCCGCGUCUGAUUAGCUAGUUGGUGUGGUAACGGCGCACCAAGGCGACGAUCAGUAGCNGGUCUGAGAGGGCGACCGGCCACACUGGGACUGAGACACGGCCCAGACUCCUACGGGAGGCAGCAGUGGGGAAUCUUGCGCAAUGGGCGAAAGCCUGACGCAGCGACGCCGCGUGAGGGAUGACGG